GAAGGCGGCCAGAGCGGUAGGGAAACACCCGUACCCAUUCCGAACACGGAAGUUAAGCCUACCAGCGUAUCGUGAAGUACUGGAGUGAGCGAUCCUCUGGGAACCACGAGUCGCCGCCUACCC
rnacentral:rRNA from 1 species